GCUCGUUCUCUUUUCUCUGUAGCUGAUUGGGGAGGGUUAAAUUGUUGUGCUUGAAGCAGUGAGGUCGUUUGGAAACAAAGGAAGCUGCGGCCCAGAAGAAGUAAACGCGGCCGCAGGAUGAUGUGUCUGCAGCUCUACAUUUAAAGAUUCGUACUGGACAAGAUUUAAUGCAUCAGCAUGCAUGUAUGUAUGUGUUAGGGUUCAUUUGAACAUGUUGAGUCUUCUCUGGCCACUAUAAAUAUUUGAGGCCUAUCGAAAUCCUUGAGUAGUAAUGUUAACUGUAAAUAUAUAAAGCCAUAAGUAUUUGCACUUUGUAAACAUUGCAACUUGUUCUUAACUCAUAGCUACUUAGCGACUGAGCUCUUAUCUUACUCCUAUGGGAUAAUUGGUGGGACAUAAGUACCAGUUUACGUUUAUGGUUGCAUAAUUUGUACCAUGAUCUUUGUAUAUUUAAAUGAAAUAAAAAGACCUUUUGUUCA